GACGAACGCUGGCGGCGUGCCUAACACAUGCAAGUCGAACGGAACUGUUUUGAAAGAUUUCUUCGGAAUGAAUUUGAUUUAGUUUAGUGGCGGACGGGUGAGUAACGCGUGAGUAACCUGCCUUCAAGAGGGGGAUAACAUUCUGAAAAGAAUGCUAAUACCGCAUGAUAUAUCGGAACCACAUGGUUUUGAUAUCAAAGAUUUUAUCGCUUGAAGAUGGACUCGCGUCCGAUUAGUUAGUUGGUGAGGUAACGGCUCACCAAGACCGCGAUCGGUAGCCGGACUGAGAGGUUGAACGGCCACAUUGGGACUGAGACACGGCCCAGACUCCUACGGGAGGCAGCAGUGGGGGAUAUUGCGCAAUGGGGGCAACCCUGACGCAGCAACGCCGCGUGAAGGAUGAAGGUUUUCGGAUUGUAAACUUCUUUUAUUAAGGACGAAACUUGACGGUAC
rnacentral:rRNA from 1 species